GGACUACACAGAGAAACCCUGUCUCUAAAAAACAAAACAAAACAAAACAAAACCUUCCACUGUGUGAUCCUGGUGCUUUACUUGGCGUCCCUACCAUGGAAAGAGUGGGAUAAAGAGGUGGCAGGAACUCCUCAGUCAGUGUUGGUGUGAGGCUGCUACUGUCUGCACUACUAAUGCCAGUGUCCAAGUUAGCCAGCUCCACAACACCUCUAAUGCCCCACCACACUGUGAAUGCCAGUGCAGGGAUGAGCUGCCCCGAAGCAACCCUGUAAGCAAUGCCAGUUACUAAACACAUCCUCCACUUUGGCCUGUGUGCUGCUGGUACAGUUUAUUAAUGUGUGUCUGGAAGAUGAUUGGUGAAGCUCUUAUUUUCUCCUUGAGGUGUGUUUGAUCCCUGUGAGCCUCAGAUCAAGAAAACAAAUAAAGUGUUUCCAUUUCCCAGGAAGGAAGUUAACAGAAGUUCUCAUGACUCUCAAAGGGCAGUUUGAGCCCAUGUAAGAACAAUGGUCUCUACAGUAACCAGUGAAGUCCAGAGCCUGUGUUAUGCUUUGGAAAAACUUCUCAUUUCUACCUAGAAUGUGCUGUGAGGAAAGGGGAUGUAGGAGCUAGGGAUAGGCUCAGUCAGAAAAGCGCUUGCCAUACAAACAUUAGGACCUGAGUUGGAUCCGUAGCAUCUAUGUUCAUAACUGAGGCAUGGUGGCCAGCCCUUGUAAAUUCUAGCUCUGAGGAGGCAGAAACCAGAAAAUCCCUAGGACUCUUUGCAGCCAGUGUACCCUAAUAGUUUAGUCCCAAGUUCCAGUGAGAGACUGUUUCAAAAGGUGGGUGGCGGGCUCCUCUGCAGACAUGUGCACCAACCUACAUGGGUAAGGGGGUGGAGAAAAGAGACAGAAGAUGUGUUUUCGGGGGUCACAUUUAUUUGCCUACUUGGAUAAGAAGCCAACAGGGAUACAGUGGAGGAGGGGCUGUGUCAAUCAGUGGUCACUCUCACUCCCCAGGAUUGGGAAAGACAAGCAAGGCUUUGUGUCAGUAUGGAGGAGGUGGCUUUGGCACACCACAGCCACCAUUCAGAACCCAGCCAGCCCUAAGCCUCCAGCUGCAUUUUAGGAGAACCCAGUGCUCACAGGCUAUGUGAUGGCCUCCUGCUGCCAACCUCCUACUUACCCCAUCCCAAGCUGUGCGCUCAGCAGCCUUGAGCUGGGCUGGCUCAUGGCCACUCUGGCUUUGUUGUUCUAUUUUUCCUGGCUUUGCUGCAGCUCUGUUCAGUCACCCUAGAGAGUAAAGCAUGGCCUUCAGGUCAGUUGCUCUGGGGACAGAAUUUAGAUGCAUCACAACUGGCUGUCCUAGAUGCCUUCACAGCCCUUCAUGCCGAGAACAGGCAGCCUUGGUGACUUCAAACUUCUGCUCAUCCCGUUCAGGCUCAAAGUCACAGCAUGCUGGCUUUAGAGCAUCCUCAGUGUGACUCCUGCCUGUCCCGUUUUACUCAACUUGUUACUGUCACAAAGUCACUGAGGUAAUCCACUGACAAAGUGAAAAGGGAUGUUGUGACUCAGAGUUUUGGAGGGUCUAGCCUAGGGCAGACUCAGCUGCUCUGAGAAAGCUCUGAAAGAGGGACCCCUGCAGGCUCACAGGCAGCUCAGACACUGGUUAGGAGAUUGUCUCUAAGACCUUAGGCUGGAUGGGGUGCGAAGAGAUGAGUCCUGGGUAGGUGGCAUUUGGAUUUCUCUCAGCAGAGCCCCAGACUUGGUCCAACUUGGAUCUCAGCAUGGGCUGAGCAGUCCAGAGCUGGUUGAAGGACAGUGGCUAUAGCAGGUGUCCUCUCCCUGCAGUAGGGAUGGACACCUUGGCAAGUAGAAACUAACAUGCUGUUCUUUGUCCCCUAGAAUGGAAUGGGUGGAAGAACCUACCUGAGAAGUCCUGGGAUUUAGGUGCAGGGGCAGCUUCUAUUCAGAAGCAGCCCUCAGGCAUAGCUCAGCAUGUAGGUAGCCACAUAGACCAGAGCCUUGUUUCUCCAGAGGCCCAGUGAGACACAUGUUUUUGGCUAUCGGGAACAUCUGCUAAUUUGUGUUCUAGAAGUGCAUGGCCAUCUUUUUUGGGGUAGUGGACACACUACAGUGCCAUGAAGUCUGGUAUAGGGAGCAUUCCCACUGCCAUGGAGCCACAGUGUUGAGACCAGGCUGGCUGGACUAUGUUAAAAUUAGUGCAUUUAAAAACAAAGAUGUCCAACCUAAAAGGCAUUUCUGCAGGUGUAGGAAAGAAAACAUUCGUGGUUGAACAGGGAAUACUCCAGUGGGAUGCCAACACUGCAUUUCAAUGGCAGUGUUCCAGACUUAAUGAAACUUUAACCUGUCAUGCCACCUGCAGCUACACCCACCCCAUGCUUCUGUAAACAACAGAAGUCUGUGGUGGAGGAUAGCAUUCACCUCGAUCCACCUCACUCUAUCAGACACAUACCAAAUUGUGUGAGGCAAAGCCACAAGAAACUACUAUCUUCAUGA
rnacentral:lncRNA from 1 species